rnacentral:rRNA from 1 species
CCUACGGGUGGCAGCAGUGAGGAAUAUUGGUCAAUGGACGCAAGUCUGAACCAGCCAUGCCGCGUGCAGGAAGACGGCUCUAUGAGUUGUAAACUGCUUUUGUACGAGGGUAAACGCAGAUACGCGUAUCUGUCUGAAAGUAUCGUACGAAUAAGGAUCGGCUAACUCCGUGCCAGCAGCCGCGGUAAUACGGAGGAUUCAAGCGUUAUCCGGAUUUAUUGGGUUUAAAGGGUGCGUAGGCGGUCGGAUAAGUUAGAGGUGAAAUCCCGAGGCUCAACUUCGGACUUGCCUCUGAUACUGUUCGGCUAGAGAGUAGGUGCGGUAGGCGGAAUGUAUGGUGUAGCGGUGAAAUGCUUAGAGAUCAUACAGAACACCGAUUGCGAAGGCAGCUUACCAGGCUACUUCUGACGUUGAGGCACGAAAGCGUGGGGAGCGAACAGGAUUAGAUACCCUGGUAGUC